rnacentral:rRNA from 1 species
UCUGGAAGAAUCUGGAGACAGGUGCUGCAUGGCUGUCGUCAGCUCGUGUCGUGAGAUGUUGGUUAAGUCCCGCAACGAGCGCAACCCUUGCCUUUAGUUGCCAGCAGUUCGGCUGGGCACUCUAAAGGGACUGCCGGUGUUAAACCGGAGGAAGGUGGGGAUGACGUCAAGUCCUCAUGGCCUUUAUGACCAGGGCUACACACGUACUACAAUGGCCGAUACAAAGGGCAGCGACACUGCGAGGUGAAGCCAAUCCCGUAAAAUCGGUCUCAGUCCGGAUUGGAGUCUGCAACUCGACUCCAUGAAGUUGGAAUCGCUAGUAAUCGUGGAUCAGCAUGCCACGGUGAAUACGUUCCCGGGCCUU